GGACUGCCCUGGAACUGGCGCAGGAGGCAGAGGGGCCGGACCUCCUCCUGGGGCCUGAGAUCAUCAUCCUUCCUGUGAGUGGAUUCGCCCUGGAUGUCAUUACACGUCCUCAUGCUUCUCUCCACUGGACCCAUGAUGGGGACCCAGAUCCAGUUUCUGUAAGAGCAUGCGUCACAGACUGAAAAUGACAGCAGCAGCCUCCUUUUAUUCACCAGCUCUUCUCUAGUGUGUGAGGGAUCGUGGCACAUGUCACACACUCAGACCAGAGAGAUGUCAGUCUGGCCUCUACUCUGCCUUCAUGGGUGCUUCAUGUAGGUCUUCCUGGCACCUCCCGGGAUGUGACUCUUCUCACCAUGGCCAUCAUGUCCCUCCUGGUCUCCUCCUAUGCCUUCUGUGAGCCCACCUGUGCUAUGCUGCUGGCCUUCCUGUGGGGCUGUGUGCAGUGAGCCCUGGGGCUCCUGCUCUCAGCCGGGGUUCCUGCUGGACGUCAUCUCCUGCCCCGUCAAUCAUUAAAGUUUUCACCUCCACUGCUACCGUCACCAUCGGCUUCGGGCAGAUCAGGGUGGUCUUGCUGUUGGCACCAGGGCACCUGCUGGUUGUAUCCUAAGACAUCUGUCACGUCUGGAAUCCACUGCAACUAUGAGGAGGAGAGUCCCUUCAGUGCCUGUGAAAUGGAAUCUUCAGGACUUUUUAGUUUUAAAACUGAGAAUCUGCAAGAUUCAUUUCUUCAUGAUUCCAAAAUGUUUAUUUCUUAAUAUUUUGGUUUUUCAACAACUGAUGCUUUUGAGAG
rnacentral:lncRNA from 1 species